AGAGCUGUGGCUCAAUAGUAGAGCAUCUACUUGGCAUUUAGAAGAUCUCUGGUUCAAUUCCAGAUUGCCUGU
rnacentral:tRNA from 1 species